rnacentral:tRNA from 1 species
GCUCACAUAGCUCAGAUGGCUAGAGCAUUUGACUGUUAAUCAAAAUGUCGUAGGUUCGAGUCCUACUGUGAGCG